rnacentral:siRNA from 1 species
UUCCUCAAGAUGAUCCGGUU